GAAAGAACAGAACGUUAGCUAGGCCAUUCAGGGAAGUAUAAAAUACUGUCUGACUGCUGCUGGCGAAUUCCACUUUAUAUCGACGUGUGAUGGUUGUCGAUAAAACACCUUCACCAUUCUGCACAAAGCUUUCGCCAAAUAUUUCCCUCAGAUGUGGUCUUCAUCGCCGUUGUACUGAAUUACUGAUACUCUAGUGGCCUUUGAGU